GGGCUGGGAGACAUCGGAGGAAUAAUCAGAGUUCCUCUAGUUCUGUUUCCGAUGUUUAAAAUUUAAAUCAAUUCCACUGGAUCAAACGGAUGGUUAGAUCAAUUCCACUGGAUCAAACGGAUGGCUAGAUCAAUUCCACUGGAUCAAACGGAUGUUCAGAACAUUUACACACGAUCAAUUGAAACCAGAUCAAACGGAUUGUUAGAUUAAUUGAACUUUAACAAAUGGAUGUUCAAAUCAAUUGAACCAGAUCAACGGAUGUCUAGAUAUCAAUUUGACUUAAUCAAAGGAUGUUAAGAUCAAUUAUAAACAGAUUAAUCGGUUUUUAAAUAAAAUCAAACCAAGAUCAAUCAAAUUGCUUCCAGAUAUAAAGUCAAUUUUCUAUAAAGAAUCCAAGGUUUUGCGACCCCCUAUGCUUUUUUAAUGAUCAUUCUAUUUACAUGCUUACAAGGACAGGAAAAAUGUUAAAUAUUUAUAAUUAAAGUUUAAACAUGUCCUCUCAGUCCCAGAUAUAUGCAACACAAUACUUAAAGUUUAUUUCUUAGUUUGAUUUUUAUCAUGCAAAAAAAUGCUGAAAAACCAGGACAGGGGACUUGAAACUCCAAUCCACUACCGGAGUCAUAGGCCAUCCCUACAAAUUGUGAUUUAGUUUAAUUUGAUCAAUUUAAUGCAGACCACAAAAGUUUCAUUUGUGAUAAGAUUUGAAACAAGUUCUGUCUUACAGUAUUACAUUUUGAAUUUGACAAUAAUCAUUUAUAUCAAUUAUAAAUUUAUAUAUUAUUCACUCAGUUAUAAAAUUAUAAAAUUUA